rnacentral:misc_RNA from 1 species
AACGCACCUUGCGCUCCCUGGUAUUCCGGGGAGCAUGCCUGUUUGAGUGUCAUGGUAUCCUCAACCUUCAUAACUUUUGUUAUCGAAGGCUUGGACUUGGAGGCUUGUGCUGGCUCUUCAUUGAGUCGGCUCCUCUGAAAUAUAUUAGCGUGAGUGUAACGGAUCGCUUCGGUGUGAUAAUUAUCUGCGCCGUGGUCGUGAAGUAACAUAAGCUUGCGCUUCUAGUCGUCCUUCAGUUGGACAAUAACCUUUUGACAUCUGACCUCAAAUCAGGUAGGACUACCCGCUGAACUUAA